rnacentral:rRNA from 1 species
GACGAACGCUGGCGGCGUGCUUAACACAUGCAAGUCGAACGGAAAGGCCCUGCUUUUGUGGGGUGCUCGAGUGGCGAACGGGUGAUUAACACGUGAGUAACCUGCCCUUGACUUUGGGAUAACUUCAGGAAACUGGGGCUAAUACCGGAUAGGAGCUCCUGCUGCAUGGUGGGGGUUGGAAAGUUUCGGCGGUUGGGGAUGGACUCGCGGCUUAUCAGCUUGUUGGUGGGGUAGUGGCUUACCAAGGCUUUGACGGGUAGCCGGCCUGAGAGGGUGACCGGCCAAAUUGGGACUGAGAUACGGCCCAGACUCCUACGGGAGGCAGCAGUGGGGAAUAUUGCACAAUGGGCGGAAGCCUGAUGCAGCAACGCCGCGUGCGGGAUGACGGCCUUCGGGUUGUAAACCGCUUUCGCCUGUGACGAAGCGUGAGUGACGGUAAUGGGUAAAGAAGCACCGGCUAACUACGUG